GACGAACGCUGGCGGCGUGCUUAACACAUGCAAGUCGAACGGUGACGAUCAAGCUUGCUUGGUCUGAUCAGUGGCGAACGGGUGAGUAACACGUGAGUAACCUGCCCCAGACUCUGGGAUAACCCCGGGAAACCGGAGCUAAUACCGGAUAUGACCCUCGUACGCAUGUGCAGGGGGUGGAAAGUUUUUUCGGUCUGGGAUGGGCUCGCGGCCUAUCAGCUUGUUGGUGAGGUAGUGGCUCACCAAGGCGACGACGGGUAGCCGGCCUGAGAGGGCGACCGGCCACACUGGGACUGAGACACGGCCCAGACUCCUACGGGAGGCAGCAGUGGGGAAUAUUGCACAAUGGGCGGAAGCCUGAUGCAGCGACGCCGCGUGAGGGAUGACGGCCUUCGGGUUGUAAACCUCUUUCAGCAGGGAAGAAGCGCAAGUGACGGUACCUGCAGAAGAAGCACCGGCUAACUACGUGCCAGCCGCCGCAGUAAAAC
rnacentral:rRNA from 1 species